AUAUUCGCCACGUUUUCGGACGCGGGGUGGAGCAGCCUGGUAGCUCGUCGGGCUCAUAACCCGAAGGUCGUCGGUUC
rnacentral:tRNA from 1 species